AUCGUUUGAUAUAUGUAGCCGGCCAUAUUUAGUAGGACAAGGUUCGGUUGUUGUUAUAAAACGUUAAUAACCAUUUUACAGCCGUUCUAGAUGAGAUUUGAACUUUGUCCUCGAAGUUACAUAGUCAAAACUCUUACCACCGAACUGACACUGUCACCUCAUUCACUCAUUUAUAAUUUAUUGUGUUCAAUUAUUGAACAGUAACAACGUCUAACGGAAAAUCACAGUAUCACAUUAUACCUACANNNNNNNNNNNNNNNNNNNNNNNNNNNNNNNNNNNNNNNNNNNNNNNNNNNNNNNNNNNNNNNNNNNNNNNNNNCUAUCUGAAAUGGCACCUGCAAAACACAGAGGAGCAAUCAACAAUGGUUUCCAGUUUUGUGUUGGAAUUGGUGUUCUAUCAGCAAAUUUAAUAAACUUUGGCACAGAAAAAAUCAAAGAUGGUUGGGGCUGGAGAAUAUCUCUAGCAAUGGCAGCAGUUCCAGCUUCAAUUCUCACAUUAGGAGCAUUUUUUCUCCCAGAAACACCAAACAGCAUAAUCCAAAAUAACAAAGAUCAUCAAAAAGCUAAGUUAAUGUUACAAUCCAUAAGAGGCACACAUGAUGUUGAACAAGAAUUUGAAGAUCUUAUUGAAGCAAGUAACAUGUCAAAUUCUAUCAAACAUCCAUUUAAGAAUAUCUUGCAAAGAAAAUAUAGACCUCAACUUGUUAUGGCAAUAGCUAUACCAUUUUUCCAACAGUUCACUGGAAUCAAUGUCAUUUCAUUUUAUGCUCCAAUCUUGUUUUUAACCAUUGGAUUAGGUGAAAGUGCUUCUCUUUUGUCUGCAGUUAUGAUUGGGAUUGUAGGUACUACUUCAACAUUCAUAUCAAUGCUAAUAGUUGAUAAACUAGGUAGAAGAGUUUUGUUCAUAUCAGGUGGAAUUCAAAUGUUCUUUUCACAAAUUCUAAUAGGAAGUAUAAUGGCAGCACAACUUGGUGAUCAUGGUGAAAUAAGCAAGAAAUAUGUAUACUUGAUUCUAGUUUUAAUAUGCAUAUAUGUUGCUGGAUUUGCAUGGUCAUGGGGGCCGUUAGGAUGGUUGGUUCCGAGUGAGAUUUUUCCAUUGGAGAUAAGAUCAGCAGCACAAAGUAUUGCAGUUGCAGUGAAUUUUCUGUUUACAUUCAUUGUUGCUCAAACUUUUCUUAGUAUGUUGUGUCAUUUCAAGUAUGGAACUUUCUUCUUCUUUGGAGGUUGGGUUGUGGUGAUGACAGUGUUUGUUUAUUUUCUGUUACCAGAAACUAAGAAUGUUCCAAUUGAGCAAAUGGAUACUGUUUGGAGAGAACAUUUGUUUUGGAAGAGAAUUGUUGGAGACAAGAGUCAAGGAAGACAAACAGUGUUGCCUUAACUAAUUACUGUAGUUUUUUAGUACCAAAACAUGCUGGUUUUUGGAAGAAUAUUGCAAGAAAGAACAAAGAAAACAAAGCUAUUUUCAGCUCAUUACAAUGUAAACAUAUGUGUGUCUACAAACAUAUACAUGAAUUUGACUGAUUGAUAUAAUUUUUCUUAUAAUAUUGGUAUGUGUACAAAGUAUUCAUUGCUUUUAGCUAUGAUUAAUCUCUGACAGAAAUCUGUUGAGCGUAAAGUUGGAAUUUUCACUUGUUUUUCUAUAUGCAAGAGUCAGAAAUCAAACAUUUGACCACUUGAUUAAGGUGUUUGAGUCCCUUACUACUUGGAUCAACAAAUGUUGGUAGACCAAUUGAUAUUAAACAUGGAUACAAGAAAAAUUCACACUACAGUGACUAUACACAGUAAAAAAUGACAAUCAGAAAUAUAUAACCAUUAACUACGUUUAGAACACUAGAUUUCUAUAGGAAACAUACCAAGCUAGAAAUAUAUUGUCUGCAGUCAUCCAAUCACAUUGUUGAGAUCUUGACCGUCUGAUCAAGAUCGAUGGUUCACAUCUUGCAUUUGUGUUUGAACUCAUUUUACAAAUUCAAAGUGCAAGUAUUUCAAAUGAACUACAUGACUCUGUGGUUAUUUCAACUAUAGGGAAUCAAGGUUAUACAAAUUUCACAUAGUAAUUAAAAUUUCAGCAUGGCAAAUCACAGUUCCAACAAACCCAAUAGGCAAAAUAAAAAUCUAGGAUGAAGGUUUAUACACAAGAAAGAAGAAAUGUGGUAAAUUUUUACUAGGUAAGAUAAAUCAUUACGGUCAAUGAGAUAAUAAUAUCUAAUCAUAAAUCAUGUCUAACUGAUAGACUAUUUAUAUUUUUUUUUGGUAAUAGGGAGGGUCUAAGCCCCAAAAAGAAAAGAUUACAUAGAAAUUAUUCUAGGGGUGGUUAUCCCCAACUCAUCAGCUAACAAUAACUCCUUAAUCGGAAUAGGACAAGAGUCAUAAAAUAUGGUUUCACGAUUUAAAUGACAACCAAUAUUCGUCACAGCGUCUGCACACUUGUUUGAUUCUCUGUAAGCAUGCUCAAUUUUAAUUUCCCAAUCCAAAUCCAACAUUCGCCGAAUGUGUUUCACCAAAGGUAAUCCAACCAAGCUACUAAAUCUUCCGGUCUUGAUCGCCUGAACCACAACAACANNNNNNNNNNNNNNNNNNNNNNNNNNNNNNNNNNNNNNNNNNNNNNNNNNNNNNNNNNNNNNNNNNNNNNNNNNNNNNNNNNNNNNNNNNNNNNNNNNNNNNNNNNNNNNNNNNNNNNNNNNNNNNNNNNCCGAAUAAUACCUCCACAGCCUAUUUAUAUUUUAUAUAUAAAUCUUCUUUGACAGGUAGUUUUCCUUUAUCUCUUUGUAAUUCUAAGUUAUAACCAUUAAACUAACAUCAGAUUCAAUCUCAUAGUUCAAAGGAUGAAAAGGUCAUGCAAAUAGAGUCUUGGUCCAGCACAUCAUAUGACAAGAUUAACUAAUAUAUUAAUUAAUAAAUAAAUACUGAUUGCCAAUUAUAUUCAUAUCAUAUAUUAGGAGUCACAGGCAAAUUUAUUUGAAUAGAUAUUAUUGGUGAGAUUUGCAGUUGAAGAUUCAACCCUUCAUUUCUACUACUCUUAUCUUAUUCAUAAAAAACUAGGAUAUAAUAUUCAAAAAUCCAUAAAUCAUUGAUAAAAUUGGUCCCAAGUCCUAACGAGCCAACCAUGUCCUUGCCAAAGAAAUCACAAUUCAAAUUGUUGAUUUUGUUUCUAAGCACAUGGUUAGAAGCAAGUCCCUGUCACACUUGGCACACAUAAAAUGAUUUUUCUCCAAUUAUAGAGGCAUUGCUAGUGUGCAAGUUUGACACUUACAAAGUAGCAAAUAAGAACCACACUCUUUUGAAAGAGACAUGCCAUAUGCAAGGAAGCUCUUUUAGGCCUUAGUUAAGUUGAGUAUAGUAAUAGCACAAAACAAUCAAAAACUCAAAUAUAUAUUUGAAAUAAUAAUAAGCUGUUGUAUUUGUAGGAAGCUUAGUUAAGUAUUUAGGGUCUGGUUGGAUUGGUUUACAUAAAUAUAUAUACCGAUGUAAGUACUUGUGAGAUGAGAGUUUUUUUUUUUUUUAUAAGCUGUGAGAUGAGAGUUUAUGAAAACAUAUGACUAUCCAUAAGUUGUUUUCAGCCUGUUUUCAUAAGCUCUCCAUUAUAGCUUAUGAAAACAGCUCAUAACAUAACACUUAUAUGAUAAGCAUCAUUAAGUUUUUACCCAAACAAGACCUUAUUUAAAAACUAAUCUAAAAAACUUGCAUCAAAAUAAGCUGAAAGCAACUUAAGGGUACAAAGUCAAGCUCCAACCAGUGAACUGACACAUGGUUGUUUAAAUAUUAAUCUGAAAACUUACAUUGAAAUAAGCUAAAAGCAACUUAAGAGUAUAUAUCUCAUAAGUUAUUCUGUCAAGUGUAUUUAUGUUAUGAGAUAAGCCUAGAUAAACGCUUAAGCUAAACAUGCAGAUCAAUAAACUGUUCUGAAGUUUAACAUACCCCACCUGAACUUCAUGUUUAGUGCUGCCUAUUGACUGUGCAAGUCAAGAGACAUCGCUUCCUUAUUUAGCUCUGCAUAUGCAGACCUCAAACUCUGUCUUCUAAGCUUCUAUCUGUGUAAUCUUAAAGAAGAAGAAAAAUAAUGGCAGGUGCAUUGGCUAUAACAAGUCAAAGUGAACAAAAGAACAAUGGCAGGGUAACCCUGUAUGUUGUUCUCUCUUGUAUGAUGGCUGGUAUGGGAGGUGUAAUAUUUGGCUAUGACAUUGGUAUAACAGGUGGAGUGACAUCAAUGGAACCAUUUCUGAAUAAAUUCUUCCACAACAUAUACCUUAAGAUGAAAUCAGAUGAUAAAGUUAGCAACUAUUGCAUGUUUGAUAGUCAAUUAUUGACAUCUUUUACAUCCUCUCUUUAUGUUGCUGGUUUUGUUACUUCCUUUUUUGCUUCUUAUGUCACCAGAGUCUUUGGACGCAAGCCAUCCAUCGUUGCAGGUGGCGCUGCAUUUCUUGCCGGUACAGUUCUUGGUGCUGCUGCUUUUAACGUGUACAUGCUCAUAGUCGGUCGACUUUUGCUUGGAGUUGGGGUUGGUUUUGCAAACCAGGUAGCCAAUCUAUCUUUGCUUUUCACCCUUUUAUUCUCAAGCACUUGUAGAAAAAGAAAUAUCAAAACAAUAAGAGUUUUUAAAACAUUAGUGUUCCGUUAAAAUUAACUUCUUCAACAUCUCAGUUUUUCAGUAACUCUCAUUGUCCGUGAGGUAUUAGUUCGGUGUUAAGAGUUUGACCUUAUAACCUCAAAGGAUGGAGUUCAAAUUUCCUCAAAGACAAUUUGUAUAAGAACUAUUAGUACUACUUUAAUUAAUGAUAACAUCUCACUCCUGAAACAUCUAUAAGCUUAUAGGGACUUUUUGGACGUAAAUAAGCAUAAACUUAUUUUAGAUGAAAUUUGUAAAACUCCAAUAAACUAGAAGCUAAUCCAAACAUAACCCAACCAAUAUCUGGGAAAUUUAUCAAAAGCUCUAACAUAGACUUGUCUAAUAUCUAUUAUCAUUAUCCAAAUAAGAGUUAUAUUACAAUUUCUGUGCUGGUUUUGCAGGCAGUUCCGCUAUAUUUAUCUGAAAUGGCACUACCUAGAUUUAGAGGGGCAACAAACAAUGGCUUCCAAUUAAGCAUCGGUAUUGGUGCUUUGUCUGCUAACCUAAUCAACUAUGGAACAGAGAAGAUUAAAGGCAGUUAUGGUUGGCGCAUAUCCUUAGCCAUGGCAGCAGUUCCAGCCUCUUUCUUAACACUAGGUGCACUUUUCCUUCCAGAAACUCCCAAUAGCCUAAUCCAAACCAACCAAGAUCAUCAAAAGGCAAAACUAAUACUUCAACGAAUUCGAGGCAUAGAAGAUGUGCAAGAAGAACUCGACGACCUCACUAAAGCAAGUUCUUCUACUUCAAAAACCAGUUCACAAAAAUCAUAUAAGAUUAUAUUGAAAAGAAGAUAUAGACCUCAACUUGUAAUGGCAAUAGCAAUACCAUUUUUCCAACAAGUGACAGGGAUCAAUGUCAUUACUUUCUAUGCUCCUUUACUUUUCAGAACACUUGGGUUAGGAGAAAGCGCAUCGCUGUUAUCAUCUGUCAUGACAGCCAUAGUAGGUACUGGUUCAACCUUUAUAUCAAUGCUCAUAGUAGAUAAACUUGGAAGGAGAACCUUGUUUAUAGUCGGAGGCAUUCAAAUGUUGGCAUCACAGUGUAUAGUUGGAGGCAUAAUGGCAGUUCAUCUGAAAGAUCACGGUGGAUUAAGUAAAGGGUAUGCUUAUAUGGUUUUGGUAAUGAUAUGUAUCUAUGUUGCUGGAUUUGGAUGGUCGUGGGGUCCACUAGGUUGGUUAGUACCAAGUGAGAUUUUUCCAUUGGAGAUUAGAUCAGCUGGACAAAGUAUCACAGUAGCAGUGAGUUUUCUCUUCACAUUUGUUGUUGCUCAGACUUUUCUAUCCAUGCUUUGCCACUUCAAGUCAGGGAUUUUCUUCUUCUUUGGUGGUUGGGUGGUGGUGAUGACUUUGUUUGACACUCUUUAGGCCAAAGAUUUAGAAAUUUAGUGAUGUAGAUAUCGCAUAGUAUGACAUAACAUUAUGGCAUCGUUUGAUAUAUGUAGCCGGCCAUAUUUAGUAGGACAAGGUUCGGUUGUUGUUAUAAAACAUUAAUAACCAUUUUACAGGCGUUCUAGAUGAGAUUUGAACUUUGUCCUUGAAGUUACAUAGUCAAAACUCAUUUAUAAUUUAUUGUGUUCAAUUAUUGAACAGUAACAACGUCUAACGGAAAAUCACAGUAUCACAUUAUACCUACAUCAAUAAUAAUGGUUUCCAGUUUCAUUGUUUUGUAGUCAGNNN
rnacentral:lncRNA from 1 species